CGUUGCAAAAAAAGACGGAGGACAAAAAUUAAAGGUGGGGUAUGUAUUUUUUCAAAAACGCUUUAGAAAACUGAGUUAGGUCGAGUACCAAAACAAACUUCUAGCUAAUCAGCAGUAAGGGGCAUGUCUACUCAUGAUGGGGACGAGAGAGUGCUCAGUGCACAGGAUGGACAUCAGAUGCCGAGGUUGCUUUGUUUCUUCUUGAUAGGAUAGGCCUCACUGAACAGCGGCAGGUUUCUUUGCAGUCUCCCGGUUAUUUUGAAGUGGUUUCCUUGAACAUGCCUCUCAUCUGUCAUUGGUCAGACCAACAGAUAGCCACGCCUUCAAACUCACACCAUCUGUUGCUGUUGUCAGGUGGGUUGCAAUGCUCAAACAGAGCAAUGUUUUGAAGGCACAGUGUGAUAGAUUACAAGAAAAUAAACCUUCAAAUAUAUUACGUUUGUUCCA
ensembl:lncRNA